rnacentral:lncRNA from 1 species
GAAGAUUGAGGCUGCAGUGACCCAUGAUCAUGCUCUGCAUUCCAGUCUGGGUGACAGAACAGGACCCUGUCUUAAAUGAGGUGAGACAGGCGAAUCACUUGAGCCUGGGAGACGGAGGUUGCAGUGAGCCGAGCGAGACUCUGUUGCACUGCACUCCAGCCUGGGCGACAGAGCGAUACUCUGUCUCAAAAUAAAUAAAUAAAUGACAAUGAAAGUAUUACAUAGUACUAUAUGGUAAAAUUUGCAGAGUAAAUACAAAGUAAUAUUCAGAGGAAAAUGUAUAGCCUAAUUGAUAUAUUAGAAAAGAGUAUGAAAAUUAAAUGGGCCAGGUGUGGUGGGUCACAUCUGUAAUCCUAGCACUUUGGGAGGCCAAGUGGGAGGAUUACUUGAACCUAGGAGUUUGAGACCAGCCUGGGCAACAUGGUGAGACAUCUUCUCUACCUAAAACAAAAAAAAAAAAAAAAAAAAAAAGAAGAAGAAGAAUAAAAGAAAAAGAAAAAAUAAAUUAAACAUUUAACUUAAGUCAGGUUACAGUGGUGGAGGUCAGGGAGAACCAAUGUGAUACCAAAAAGUUUAAGAGAGGAAUUAAGAUGAAAGCAGAAAUAAGCUGAAAAAAAUAAAUAAAUAAAUGAGUAAAUGAAUGAAUGGAUGACUAAAUAAAUAACGUAUACUUGCUCAAUAAAAGUAAAAGCUGGAGAUGGUUUGGCUGGGUAGAUAUAGACAGCUUUUCAUAUUAUACUCAACUUACUUCUAAACUGUUUGAAUCUUUUUAAAUGAGAAGGCACCCAUGUAUUAGGUGUUAGAUAAAAUGAUACAAAAUAACGUAAAAAUUGUUUCACAUCAUACCUAAGAAAUUCUAAGUCGGCUAUAAAUGCAAGAUAUUAAAGUUAUUCUAAUAUUGAUUCAGA